AACAAACAAACCAAAACUAAAAAGAUGGCCCAGAUGGCUGCCACAGCAAGCUCCACAGCUCAUGGGCUCUGGGUUUCCUGCCCUGGGACCUGUGGAUGAGUUUGGCUACAGACAUUC